rnacentral:lncRNA from 1 species
GGAAGAUUAGCCCUGAGCUAACAUCUACCGCCAAUCCUCCUCUUUUUACUGAGGAAGACUGGCCCUGAGCUAACAUCCAUGCCCGUCUUCUUCUACUUUAUAUGUGGGAUGCCUGCCACAGCAUGACUUGCCAAGCAGUGCCAUGUCCACACCUGGGAUCCGAACUGGUGAACCCCGGGCUGCUGAAACGGAACAUGUGAACUUAACUGCAGCACCACCGGGCCGGCCCCAUAUUUUUUUUCUUCUUAUUUAGAGAAUUUAUAGUUCAGACUAUAAUAGCCUGAUGAAAUUAAGCAUUAAAGCAAUUAACCACCACAUAAUUAAGCUAAAAAAAUUGUAAUUUCAACUCUGAAUGUUUUCACAUAAAAGAGGUGAUUGAUGCUGUGGUUGGUAUUGUGUUGGCAGCGUGGGGAGCUACAUGGAGGUGUGAAUUCUCUGCAAUGGCACCUCAAAUUUUUACUUCAUUUUCUUCAUGUUAGCUUGGUUUUUUUAAUAUCACUUGGCUGGUUUAAAAGGUAAAAAUCAGGAUUCCCAUGGGGGUGGCCCUACGGCCAAGUGGUUAAGUUCAUGCCCUCUGCUUCAGCGGCCCAGGGUUUUGCCAGUCCAGAUCCUGGUCACCAAUAUGGCACCACUGGCAAGGCCGGGCUGAAGGGGUGUCCCACACAGCACAACCAGAAGCACCUGCAACUAGAAUAUAUAACUAUAUACUAGGGGGCUUGGGGAGAAGAAGAAGGAGAAGGAAAAGAAGAAGAUUGGAAACAGAUGUUGUAGCUCAGGUGCCAAUCUUUAAAAGAAUAAAACCAAGAUUUCCAUUCUCAAGAUGGAUCACGUUGUCUACCAUGUGUUCCAUGGAACUCUUUGUAACAUAUCAGUUUGGAAGCUCGUCUACCGUUUUGCUCUCUGCAAUGUACUGACCUCUCUUCUGAAGGGAAGCCAGGAACUAGCAGCCAGACAGUCUAAGAAGAUGGUUCACAAUUUGAUGAGGCUAUGCAAUCAAAUGCACCCUAUUAAAGCUUGAUUGGAAGGCUGUGGAUUAGUUUCUGGGCUUUCUAAAUCACUCAUGUUAUUUGUUUUUAUUUUUGAUGCUCUGAAAUCAUAUAAAUAAAAGAAAGUGUAUUUAUUGUGACUUAAGAAAAUCUGCAGAGGGUCUUUCCUAAAAGGAGAGAGCUCCGUUUCCCCUCUGCGUGAGAAAAUAGGUGUCACUUAGGGAAAACAUCUUUAUCUUACUGCCACAUUCUCGUUUUCACUGAGCCCAAAGUGAAAUAAGUCACAGCCCCUGCCAUUCAUGCGGGGGCUGGGGGAGACAUAGAUGUGCCCCUAUUACA